GACGAACGCUGGCAGCGUGCUUAACACAUGCAAGUCGAGCGGAAAGGCCCUUCGGGGUACUCGAGCGGCGAACGGGUGAGUAACACGUGAGUAACCUGCCCUUGGCUCUGGGAUAGCUCCGGGAAACCGGAAUUAAUACCGGAUAUGACUUCGGCCGACAUCGGCUGCGGUGGAAAGAUUUAUCGGCCAGGGAUGGGCUCGCGGCCUAUCAGCUUGUUGGUGGGGUAACGGCCUACCAAGGCGACGACGGGUAGCCGGCCUGAGAGGGCGACCGGCCACACUGGGACUGAGACACGGCCCAGACUCCUACGGGAGGCAGCAGUGGGGAAUAUUGCGCAAUGGGCGAAAGCCUGACGCAGCGACGCCGCGUGGGGGAUGAAGGCCUUCGGGUUGUAAACCCCUUUCGGCAGGGACGAAGCGAAAGUGACGGUACCUGCAGAAGAAGCGCCGGCUAACUACGUGCCAGCAGCCGCGGUAACACGUAGGGCGCAAGCGUUGUCCGGAAUCAUUGGGCGUAAAGAGCUCGUAGGUGGUUUGUCACGUCUGCUGUGAAAACUCGGGGCUUAACCCCGAGCUUGCAGUGGAUACGGGCAGACUAGAGGUAGGUAGGGGAGAAUGGAAUUCCCGGUGUAGCGGUGAAAUGCGCAGAAUAUCGGGAGGAACACCGGUGGC
rnacentral:rRNA from 1 species